CACCAACCUCAUUCUCUUUCUUUUCUCUGUUCUCAAGGGAAUCUGAAGGUCCAGUUGGUGCUCCAGUCAUCAGCUCCAGUGGCAUCAGAGUCUCGGGAAGGACCAUGGCAAAGGAAGCAACCAGCAAGAGCAAUCUCUCUCUGAGCCUGAGCUUUGUAAUUCUGCUGAGCCAUCUGGGGGCCACACUGGCAGAUGGUACAGAUUCUCUAAGUUGCAACUUCAUUGUCAAGUAUCGAAGCUCACCUGGACAGUGCUCAGUGAACGGAAAUCCUCUCCUUCAUCUUGGUGAUGGAAAACAGGAGGGAAAUGCCACUGAUCUGUGUCCUCCUUUGUCCAAAAGCCUGGAAGAGACUUUCGAAGGGCUGUGGAAACUGCAGUC